GGAUAGCUCAGUUGGUUAGAGUAUGGUACUGAUAACACCAAGGUUGCAGGUUUGAUCCCUCUAUGGACA
rnacentral:tRNA from 1 species